GACGAACGCUGGCGGCGUGCCUAAUACAUGCAAGUAGAACGCUGAAGGAGGAGCUUGCUUCUCUGGAUGAGUUGCGAACGGGUGAGUAACGCGUAGGUAACCUGCCUGGUAGCGGGGGAUAACUAUUGGAAACGAUAGCUAAUACCGCAUAAGAGUAGAUGUUGCAUGACAUUUGCUUAAAAGGUGCAAUUGCAUCACUACCAGAUGGACCUGCGUUGUAUUAGCUAGUUGGUGGGGUAACGGCUCACCAAGGCGACGAUACAUAGCCGACCUGAGAGGGUGAUCGGCCAAACUGGGACUGGGACACGGCCCAGACUCCUACGGGAGGCAGCAGUAGGGAAUCUUCGGCAAUGGACGGAAGUCUGACCGAGCAACGCCGCGUGAGUGAAGAAGGUUUUCGGAUCGUAAAGCUCUGUUGUAAGAGAAGAACGAGUGUGAGAGUGGAAAGUUCACACUGUGACGUUAUCUUACCAGAAAGGGACGGCUAACUACGUG
rnacentral:rRNA from 1 species